CCCUCUACGCUGACGAGCAAGGGCGGGAUCCCCAUCACUGCAUCCUCCACUCCGAUGGCAGGAGCGGUGCUCCUCACUGUGCUGGUACACCAUGCUGCUCAGAUCCGUCACGGUGGACUCGAUACAGGGCAAGAAGGAAGUAGAAUGAGGCGCACUCUUAGGAAUCCUCUGUCCUAAGAAAGAACAUGGAAAGCACACUCUUGGGAAAAAUAAGGAAACUACAAUCUAGCAAAUGAAUAAAGAAACAGAAGCUUGCUCACAAAAUUUCGCAUAAGUGGUUGGCAUCAUCACUAGAAGAUCUUCACAGUAACAACACAAUCAAGUGAGGGGAGGUUAGUCUGAUCUUCAGAGCAUUGCAAGUUUGGUGACUCUUCUGCUGGAGACAUGUGGCCCUCUUCGAGUAAUGCAGAUUCACAGGAUUGUGCUGAGUCUGGUAUUCAAAAGACAUCCCAUGAAUAUGGUAAUGUACUAAUGUCAUCC